rnacentral:rRNA from 2 species
CCUACGGGAGGCUGCAGUGAGGAAUAUUGCACAAUGGGCGAAAGCCUGAUGCAGCAACGCCGCGUGAGUGAUGAAGGCCUUUGGGUCGUAAAACUCUGUCCUUGGGGAAGAAAAAAAUGACGGUACCCUUGGAGGAAGCCCCGGCUAACUACGUGCCAGCAGCCGCGGUAAUACGUAGGGGGCGAGCGUUAUCCGGAAUUAUUGGGCGUAAAGAGUGCGUAGGUGGUUUUGUAAGCGUAGGGUGAAAGGCAGUAGCUCAACUACUGUUAGCCCUGCGAACUGUGAGACUUGAGUGCAGGAGAGGAAAGUGGAAUUCCUAGUGUAGCGGUGAAAUGCGUAGAUAUUAGGAGGAACACCAGUGGCGAAGGCGACUUUCUGGACUGUAACUGACACUGAGGCACGAAAGCGUGGGUAGCAAACAGGAUUAGAUACCCCGGUAGUC